rnacentral:rRNA from 1 species
UGAGGAAUAUUGGUCAAUGGGCGGAAGCCUGAACCAGCCAUCCCGCGUGCAGGAAGACAGCCAUACGGGUUGUAAACUGCUUUUCCAGUGGGCGAAACACUCGUACGUGUACGAGAUUGACGGUACACUGGGAAUAAGCAUCGGCUAACUCCGUGCCAGCAGCCGCGGUAAUACGGAGGAUGCAAGCGUUAUCCGGAUUUAUUGGGUUUAAAGGGUGCGUAGGCGGAUGAAUAAGUCAGUGGUGAAAGGCUGCAGCUUAACUGUAGACUUGCCGUUGAUACUGUUUAUCUUGAGUAUGGUCAAGGCAGGUGGAAUGUGUAAUGUAGCGGUGAAAUGCUUAGAUAUUACACAGAACAUCGAUUGCGAAGGCAGCUUGCUGGGCCAUUACUGACGCUGAUGCACGAAAGCGUGGGGAGCGAACAG